rnacentral:rRNA from 1 species
UGGGGAAUUUUGCGCAAUGGGCGAAAGCCUGACGCAGCGACGCCGCGUGUGCGAUGAAGGCCUUUGGGUCGUAAAGCACUGUCGACCGGGACGAAAUCUUCCGAGCUAACACCUCGGAGGUUUGACGGUACUGGUAAAGGAAGCACCGGCUAACUCUGUGCCAGCAGCCGCGGUAAUACAGAGGGUGCAAACGUUGCUCGGAAUUAUUGGGCGUAAAGCGCAUGUAGGCGGUCUGUUAAGUCGGUUGUGA